AUGGACAGCAUCGCCGCCGCCGCCGGCAACUGCCGCUGCAGCCGCGUCGUCUACGUCGGCAACAUCCCCUUCAAAGCCGAGGAGAAGGAGGUCCGCGACGCCUGCGAGCUCAUCGGCCCCGCCCUCUCCUUCAACCUCGCCGCCGACGCCGACACGGGGAAGCGCAAGGGCUACGCCUUCGUCGAGUACGCUGACGACGCCACGGCGCAGAGCGCGUGCCGCAACAUGCACGGCCACCGGCUGCUCGACCGCGAGCUGCGGGUCGGCCUCGCCGAAAGGGCCGGCGCGGCGCGCCGGAGGCGCCGGGGAGACCACGAGCCCGUCGGGAUGGAGGACGCCAUCCACGCCGCAUCCCUCGUCAACGACCGCGGGCGCCUCGCCGUCGUGUCCUCCGUCACGCGGCACCUGGCGGGCGCGUCCAGGCACGAGCUGCGGGAAGCUUUGGACACGUUCAAGAACUGCGGCCCCGAGAACUGCAAGGUACUCACGGAGUACGUCCCAGGGCUGGACAUCGCCAUGGAGAUGGUGCAGCGCCUGCUCGACAUGGCUGCAGCGGACGAUGCUGCCGGCGAGGCAAAGAGGAAGAAGCGGGCGAGCGCCUGUCCGCCGCCGGACGAUCACGGCGCCAAACUGAUGAAGCUCGAAGACGGCGGGAAGGCUACGCCGGUGUUCGCUGGAGUUGCCUGCGUCUGA
rnacentral:rRNA from 1 species